rnacentral:rRNA from 1 species
GUGGGGAAUAUUGCGCAAUGGGGGAAACCCUGACGCAGCAACGCCGCGUGAGUGAUGAAGGCCUUCGGGUCGUAAAGCUCUGUCAGGUGGGAAGAACAAGGAAAUCCCCAAUAAGGUUUUCCUUUGACGGUACCACCAGAGGAAGCACCGGCUAACUCCGUGCCAGCAGCCGCGGUAAUACGGAGGGUGCGAGCGUUGUUCGGAAUUACUGGGCGUAAAGCGCGUGUAGGCGGCCUAUUAAGUCAGAUGUGAAAGCCCUUGGCUCAACCAAGGAAUUGCAUUUGAAACUGGUUGGCUUGAGUACGGGAGAGGAGAGUGGAAUUCCCGGUGUAGAGGUGAAAUUCGUAGAUAUCGGGAAGAACACCGGUGGCGAAGGCGGCUCUCUGGACCGAUACUGACGCUGAGACGCGAAAGCGUGGGGAGCAAACAGGAUUAGAUACCCCAGUAGUCC